rnacentral:ribozyme from 1 species
UUAAGAGUGAGCUCUGCUAGUGGGGUUGAAUGCGAAGCCUCUUGAAGGUCACACAGACUCUCCUUCCAAACUCUUAUCUUGCAAUGGCCUCAUCGUACGGAACGGCAGUUUAUAUUACUGUACACUCAAGCUAGGGUACUUAGGCUAGCUCAAACCCUUGCGGCAGAUGGUAGUGCAUGACCAAAACAGGAAAGG